UCUUCGGUAGUAUAGUGGUCAGUAUCCCCGCCUGUCACGCGGGAGACCGGAUUUUAAUUCCCCGCCAGAGAG
rnacentral:tRNA from 1 species